rnacentral:rRNA from 1 species
AUUGAACGCUGGCGGCAUGCUUUACACAUGCAAGUCGAACGGUAACAGGCCGCAAGGUGCUGACGAGUGGCGAACGGGUGAGUAAUGCAUCGGAACGUGCCCAGUCGUGGGGGUUAACUACUCGAAAGAGUAGCUAAUACCGCAUACGAUCUAUGGAUGAAAGCGGGGGACCGUAAGGCCUCGCGCGAUUGGAGCGGCCGAUGUCAGAUUAGGUAGUUGGUGGGGUAAAGGCUCACCAAGCCAAAGAUCUGUAGCUGGUCUGAGAGGACGACCAGCCACACUGGGACUGAGACACGGCCCAGACGCCUAAGGGAGGCAGCAGUGGGGAAUGUUGGACAAUGGGCGCAAGCCUGAUCCAGCAAUGCCGCGUGCAGGAAAAAGGCCUUCGGGUUGUAAACUGCUUUUGUACGGAACGAAACGGCUCUGGUUAAUACCCGGGGCUAAUGACGGUACCGUAAGAAUAAGCACCGGCUAACUACGUG